ACACUCCAAGUCAAGAAACUACAUUAUCUGUCUCCUUUCUCAUUUUCAUACAUGCACCAGGUCCUGCAGUCACUUCUUCUAAUUUACACCUUUUUCACCUUUAAAUGAUACGUACUUUAAAACACCAAAAGGAAAAGUUGAGUUGACAUUCAUAGUAACUGAUUUUAGUUCUUCACUGAGACUAAAGAGCUCUCAUUCCAAAAGUACUGCACACUCUGGCUCCUAGGAUAGCCUUUAAAAGGAGAAUUCUGAAUGAAUAGUGCCCAUAACACAGAAGUAGUUUGGUGCCAGAGCUUGAAAAGAUAAGAUGUCUAUAUCCAGUAUUUUCUUGAUAAUAGAGCAGGUAUCUAUUACUCAUUUGCUAAAAUUUCCAGCAAUUAACUAUAAAGAGGAAGUUUUUCUAGCACCUCCCCCACUUUAUCCAGUCAACUUUUUCCA
rnacentral:lncRNA from 1 species